rnacentral:misc_RNA from 1 species
GAUGAAGAACGUAGCGAAACGCGAUAAGUAAUGUGAAUUGCAGAAUCCAGUGAAUCAUCGAAUCUUUGAACGCACACUGCGCCCGCCAGCAUUCUGGCGGGCAUGCCUGUUCGAGCGUCAUUUCAACCCUCGACCUCCCCUUGGGGAGGUCGGCGUUGGGGACCGGCAGCACACCGCCGGCCCUGAAAUGGAGUGGCGGCCCGUCCGCGGCGACCUCUGCGCAGUAAUACAGCUCGCACCGGGACCCCGACGCGGCCACGCCGUAAAACACCCAACUUCUGAACGUUGACCUCGAAUCAGGUAGGACUACCCGCUGAACUUAAGCAUAUCAAUAAGCGGAGGA